rnacentral:rRNA from 1 species
GAUGAACGCUAGCGGCAGGCCUAAUACAUGCAAGUCGAACGGUGUCUUCGGACAUAGUGGCGCACGGGUGCGUAACACGUAUGCAACCUACCUUACAUUGGGGGAUAGCCUUUCGAAAGGGAGAUUAAUACCGCAUAAGACAGUAGCUGGGCAUCCAGCAGCUGUUAAAGAUUUAUCGAUGUAAGCUGGGCAUGCGUCCAAUUAGCUAGUUGGUGAGGUAACGGCUCACCAAGGCAAUGAUUGGUAGGUGAACUGAGAGGUCAAUCCCCCACACUGGCACUGAGAUACGGGCCAGACUCCUACGGGAGGCAGCAGUAGGGAAUAUUGGGCAAUGGACGCAAGUCUGACCCAGCCAUGCCGCGUGCAGGAUGAGGGCGUUAUGCGUUGUAAACUGCUUUUAUACAGGAAGAAACGACUCUUGCGAGGGGCAUUGACGGUACUGUAUGAAUAAGCACCGGCUAACUCCGUGCCAGCCGCCGCCGUAACAC